AAAGUACUCCCUCCGUCCCAAAAUUCUUUUCUUAGAUUUGUCUAGAUACGGAUGUAUCAAGUCACGUUUUAGUAUUAGAUACAUCCGUAUCUAGACAAAUCUAAGACAAGAAAUUUGGGACAGAGGGAGUAGUUG
rnacentral:pre_miRNA from 1 species